rnacentral:rRNA from 1 species
UUGAAGAGUUUGAUCAUGGCUCAGAUUGAACGCUGGCGGCAGGCCUAACACAUGCAAGUCGAGCGGUAGCACAGAGAGCUUGCUCUCGGGUGACGAGCGGCGGACGGGUGAGUAAUGUCUGGGAAACUGCCUGAUGGAGGGGGAUAACUACUGGAAACGGUAGCUAAUACCGCAUAACGUCGCAAGACCAAAGAGGGGGACCUUCGGGCCUCUUGCCAUCAGAUGUGCCCAGAUGGGAUUAGCUAGUAGGUGGGGUAACGGCUCACCUAGGCGACGAUCCCUAGCUGGUCUGAGAGGAUGACCAGCCACACUGGAACUGAGACACGGUCCAGACUCCUACGGGAGGCAGCAGUGGGGAAUAUUGCACAAUGGGCGCAAGCCUGAUGCAGCCAUGCCGCGUGUAUGAAGAAGGCCUUCGGGUUGUAAAGUACUUUCAGCGGGGAGGAAGGUGUUGAGGUUAAUAACCUCAGCAAUUGACGUUACCCGCAGAAGAAGCACCGGCUAACUCCGUGCCAGCAGCCGCGGUAAUACGGAGGGUGCAAGCGUUAAUCGGAAUUACUGGGCGUAAAGCGCACGCAGGCGGUCUGUCAAGUCGGAUGUGAAAUCCCCGGGCUCAACCUGGGAACUGCAUUCGAAACUGGCAGGCUAGAGUCUUGUAGAGGGGGGUAGAAUUCCAGGUGUAGCGGUGAAAUGCGUAGAGAUCUGGAGGAAUACCGGUGGCGAAGGCGGCCCCCUGGACAAAGACUGACGCUCAGGUGCGAAAGCGUGGGGAGCAAACAGGAUUAGAUACCCUGGUAGUCCACGCCGUAAACGAUGUCGACUUGGAGGUUGUGCCCUUGAGGCGUGGCUUCCGGAGCUAACGCGUUAAGUCGACCGCCUGGGGAGUACGGCCGCAAGGUUAAAACUCAAAUGAAUUGACGGGGGCCCGCACAAGCGGUGGAGCAUGUGGUUUAAUUCGAUGCAACGCGAAGAACCUUACCUACUCUUGACAUCCAGAGAACUUUCCAGAGAUGGAUUGGUGCCUUCGGGAACUCUGAGACAGGUGCUGCAUGGCUGUCGUCAGCUCGUGUUGUGAAAUGUUGGGUUAAGUCCCGCAACGAGCGCAACCCUUAUCCUUUGUUGCCAGCGGUUAGGCCGGGAACUCAAAGGAGACUGCCAGUGAUAAACUGGAGGAAGGUGGGGAUGACGUCAAGUCAUCAUGGCCCUUACGAGUAGGGCUACACACGUGCUACAAUGGCGCAUACAAAGAGAAGCGACCUCGCGAGAGCAAGCGGACCUCAUAAAGUGCGUCGUAGUCCGGAUUGGAGUCUGCAACUCGACUCCAUGAAGUCGGAAUCGCUAGUAAUCGUAGAUCAGAAUGCUACGGUGAAUACGUUCCCGGGCCUUGUACACACCGCCCGUCACACCAUGGGAGUGGGUUGCAAAAGAAGUAGGUAGCUUAACCUUCGGGAGGGCGCUUACCACUUUGUGAUUCAUGACUGGGGUGAAGUCGUAACAAGGUAACCGUAGGGGAACCUGCGGUUGGAUCACCUCCUU